UACGUAGGGCGCAAGCGUUGUCCGGAAUUAUUGGGCGUAAAGAGCUCGUAGGCGGCCUGUUGCGUCCGCUGUGAAAUCCCGGGGCUCAACCCCGGGCCUGCAGUGGAUACGGGCUGGCUAGAGGCAGGCAGGGGAGAACGGAAUUCCUGGUGUAGCAGUGAAAUGCGCAGAUAUCAGGAGGAACACCGGUGGCGAAGGCGGAUCUCUGGGCCUUACCUGACGCUCAGGCGCGAAAGCUAGGGGAGCGAACUGG
rnacentral:rRNA from 1 species